rnacentral:lncRNA from 1 species
GGGAGAUUGAUUGCAUAUCCUUUCAUCAAUGCAAUCAAACAACUAAGAAAUUCUAAGUACACACAUAGCUCUCAAAUUUUACUGUCUUUCUAGGGCAGAGCAUAAAGUUAGCCUUGCCUCAGUGAGACUGUGCAAUGCCAUGUGGUUACUGGAGCAAGGGUAUUCUUCAUCAUCUGUGGCAAUGAGAACCUCACUCCCUGCAGGAAUAUAGAUGCAUCGAAGUGCAGAGAGAUCCAGUGAAGCACCAUCAGCCACCCCAGCUACAACAGAACUCAUUUCUUCUAUAUAACAGAACAGGAAGGCUCCCAGGUCUCUUCACAAAAGCAAAGGAGAAAGUUGACAGGUGGAGUUAUAGUGGCCAUUAUGACUUCUUCCAGCAUGGUUCCAUCUAUUGUGACUAUUGGAGGAGGCCAGAGGUGAAGAGGGAAAGCAGUCAGAUAGGACCAACAUUUGAUAAAGCAGUAGAAAUGGAGCAUCUGCAAGCAGAGUUUCAUCAUCUAGAAAUCUGUGUGCUGGACUCAGAAUGGACAUGACCAAAAAUGUUUAAAAUAGCCACUCAGCCUUGAGGACAAGGUGAAUAAUCUUCAACCAUUCUAGCAGAAAUUCUCAUUCUGUUGGCAAAAAGAAAGCAUGCAGUAGUUUGGCUAUGAAUCAUACCUUCUGUUGUCAUGAUUAAUUUUAAGGACACAUUCAAAGAAGUUUCUUCUGUAACACUACACUCUGGGAAAAGGAAAAAAAUAUGUUGAAUGUUGU